CAAAUUAUAUAGGGCGCUAUAUAAAUGCUGUAUAUUAUUAUUAUUAUCCGAAGGCACAGGUAAAUCUACCCGCAGGCCAGAGAUCAUUGAUCAGGCCAACGUAUCGAUCGUAGGGAACAAUAAAAGCUAGUCUAAUGAAGGUGAGUCUGAUAGGAAAGGGGAGAUGAAAUUAUCAUGAUUUGUGAAAACUUUAUGUGUAACUGUCCAAUGCAUGCGUAGCAUUCAAAUGGUGUUGUGCAACGGCUCAAAUUUCAUGCGUAACGGUUACCGUUUCGCUAAAACAGCCUGGAGAGAACACUGACCCGGGGUAGAAGGGAAACCAAUUUUGUAUAAACAGUGGGUGUGACCCCCCUUUGGCAGAAAGGCAGGGCCAAAGAGGAAAAUAGCUUUUAAAUCCAUCUGUAGGAAUGACAGGAUUAUGUUCACAUUUGGUCAAAAGCAUCCAUGGGUAAAGGGGACCUAAUUUUGUACCAACAAUAGGUCUGACCCCCCUGGGGACAGAGGGGCGGGCCCCAAUAGGGGAAACAUAGCAAAUACUUCCAAAUCCCCCUUUUAUUUUAAGAAUGACAGGAUUUUGUUCAAUUGCAUAUAAAUAAAAACCCUGACUAUCCAUGUAAUACAUGUGCACUUUCAGUGACAUAAUGCUUUUUUAACUUCAAUUUUGCUAACAUUUCUAGAUAAGCGAUACAGGCCCUCUGGGCCACCUGUUAUUAUUAUUAUUCUGCACAAAUCUUGUCACAGCCUUCUAAAUGACACCUGGUAUAUGAUCGCUAUUUUCACAUGUUGUAGGUCAUGGUCUGAAGAUGCCUUUGAAGUAUUGUCAUCUUCAUUGAAAAUUCAAUAUGGCCGAUCACCAUAUGACAUAAGAACUGAUUUUUUUACCAUUUUAAAACAGCCAUAUCUCCCAUAAGUUGAGGUAGUACUAUGUUUUAUUAUAUUUUGCUGAUAGAGUGUGGUCAAGGCUAAAUUUGACCCAUGCUAUGUAAUGAGGAAAAGAGUCAAAUUUAAAUCCUCGCCGUUUGGUCAAUCGUCAGCUAUUUUUAAAAUAUUCUCAUUUUUCACGUCUUCAUUAAAAAAAAGUGUUUUAGUCGUCGAUAGGAGAUGGCCAUCCGAUUUCUUGGAUAUAUUUAUUGUUUCUGAAACAUUUCCCCAUAAAGUCAUAUGACGUGUUCGUUAUUGCCAUUGAUCUUUUUAAAAAACUUUUUACAAACUUCUACGAUCUUGUUCUCCAAUUCUGCCUUUUAAAUAUUAACCACAACCAGUACAUGUAUUCGACUAAGGGCCCGUAUGAAAUGUUGUUACUUUUUGGAGCCAUUAGGAUUUCGAGGUGAACUCCACGGGCUCGAAUUGAAUAAUAACCUAUACCCAUAUAUUUCUUUAACAAUAUCAAGCUCAACUUUUUGUCUCACAUUGUUUUACCAAAAACUGUCAACAUUCGUAUUUCGGUAGGGGUCAACGAUGAAUUAAUCACAAAAGAACGAGCAUGAUAUCGAAAAUAAUAAUGUAAUGUCAAGAUUAUUAAGUACUGGUAAUUAUUUAUGUAAAAUAAAUUAUAUCACAUUAAACAAAUUCUGCGAAGAACACUGCCACACAUCCAUUUCUUUGUAAGAUUAUUCCAUAUUCAUUGAUAUGUGAACAAAUGAAUAUUUCACGUAACCAAAUCAUAGAAAUUGUGUCAUUAUUUUAUCACAUAUGAAAUAUAUACUAACACUUGCGCUAAUUCUCCUUAUAUAAUUUUGUGUGAGCAAGACGCCCAUAGCCCGUGAUAAACACACAUUUAGGAAAAACACAGUGACGGUCAUUUGUAUUUUGCCCGAAAUGUGGUCACUGUAUAUGUUCCAGAUAUCUCGCAACAAUAAAUUGUCGCCACACUCAAUAUUUGUUUCUUCAUGGUUUCAAUUAUGUCCUAUUCAGGUUAACAUCAAGGUUAAGAUACUGACAGCGCCCAGACAAAGGACAUCAAAAUUUGGGGCACCGUCCUCAUCUAUCGAUGUUCUCGAGAAUAGAACGUUUGUCAUCAAAACUAUGUACAUUCCUACCACGAUGACCCCCAAGACACCAGUCGGCAGCUUCUGCCUUAUCAGAAAUUGUGUAGUUUGGGAAUUCGUAAGGGCUACACAAAAGUCAAUGAUUAUGGCAUGUGGGCCGUUCCAAUUUGAUCCGAAAGUGGAGGAGGACUUUCUGGAACCGGCAGUUGUGACGAUUUCCGAGGCGCCUAAGCCUCUUGGGAACAUUGGUGUCUACAUCAGAUGUCCUAACGACGGAAACGUCGAGGAGGAAAGUUCUCCGCCUACAAGACGGCGGGGCCCAGGAAUUCGCUGUGAAACUCUGGGGGGGAGGAAGUGGACCUACCACUCCCCACUAAUGGAUCGACAGUAGUCGUUGGGUGCAUCACGAUUGCCGAGUUUGGAGGAAGGAAAGAGGCCAACUCGACAAAUUGUACAACCGUUACAGUAUGAAUCAUAAAACUCUGCUCACUUCUGAAUACAAGUGCCCCAUUAGCAAAGAGACAAAGUGAAAUUCUAGACGAUGGCAAAAAUGUCCACAAUCAACUCUUUUCCACACAGCUUUAUGAAAUCCUCAUUUAUACUGGAAAUUGCAGACGAUGUGCCUUUUGAGGGCACGAUAGAUGCGAUAUCCAUUGACGACGAUGAAGCAACCCUAGUGAUGAGAUGCAAGAAAAUGAAAAGCUUCUCAACAUUUCAUUGCCUCUCUUAGAAGGGGUAUUUCCCAAUUUUGAAUUCAUUCCAAAUACCACAGUCAAAGGACUGGAAUUAGAAUUCACACAUUGGAAGCUGCUGACUAAAUAUAAAGAUCUAAGGAACAAUGAACAUAUUCCAUGGGUUUACUAUAAUGUCAGUCGUCGAAGGGUCUAUGUACUGGAAUGAUAUUGUUGGAUUUUCAGAAGGCCUUUGACCACGAAAUUUUAUGUGAAAAACUGAAGGCAAUGGGAAUAGAAAGUGUAUCCUGGUUCAUGUCAUACUUGUCCUCACGUGAGCAACUUGUAUCUUUUAAAAAUGUUUUCUCAAAACCACAAAGAGUCACAUGCGGUGUUCCACAAGGUAGUAUUCUGGGACCACUUUUAUUUUUAUACUAUGUAAAUGACAUGGAACUGAGCAUAAGUACCGACUGUACAUUAUUAUUGUAUGCGCAGAUGACAGCGCUAUUUUGUUUUCUAAUAAAGAUCCUGAGGAAAUUAAAGAUAAAUUAUCCAGAGAAAUAUCCAACUGUAAUAUAUGGCUGGUGAACAACAAAUUAUCCUUACAUCUUGGCAAGACGGAAUGUAUAUUGU
rnacentral:misc_RNA from 1 species